rnacentral:ncRNA from 2 species
UAUAUAUAAGUACUAUAUACUUAUAUAUAGCCGUAAUUGGACGGCUGUCUCUACCCGAUACCGUAAAUAUCGGACUAUAAGUCAAAAAUGUGUCUAA